AAUAAAAUUCCUAAUAGGUGAUACAUUAUUUUUUUGAGAAAAAAUAAAAAAUAAUGCAUUGCAUCGAUACACUAUUCAAAAUUAUCUAAAAUUUUUAGAAAAACCUUGAAUAGGACACUUAUGGGCAUAUGCCACUAGUUUUCUAUUUUAAAUUAUUUUGUAUUUUUAUAAUUUUUGAACAUUUGAACAAUGUGUCAAUUUUUUUU
rnacentral:lncRNA from 1 species